ensembl:lncRNA
AUGUUUAGUCAUGGACUUUGCAUGAACUUUCAACAGGUGCUGCAACUUGCUCGAAUUGAAGGAAAGGAUGUGAAGGACUGUGUCCACAAAUUCCUUGAUAGGCUCUUCAGUAAUCGUCUCAUGGCCCAUUUCAACAUGAAGGGAAAGGGGAAAAAAGACAAGAUGGCCCUGGAGACCGCACUCAUUUACAGAGCAAUCCGAGCUGCAGUGAUGAAAUGGAGCAAGGACGCAACUGAAGAAAUUAUUAAAAAACAUGCUUCGGAGCACCUCAAGCAUGCACCAGCAAGAAGCCAGGGAGGGGGACACACGCAAUAAACAAUUAUGCAAUUUAAAGUAAUAUAAAUAAAUAAGUUUUAAUUGAAUGCGCCUUGUGUCUG